UAGGGAAUCUUCCGCAAUGGACGCAAGUCUGACGGAGCAACGCCGCGUGAGUGAAGUAGGAUUUCGGUUCGUAAAACUCUGUUGUUAGAGAAGAACAGCGCAUAGAGUAACUGUUAUGCGUGUGACGGUAUCUAACCAGAAAGCCACGGCUAACUACGUGCCAGCAGCCGCGGUAAUACGUAGGUGGCAAGCGUUGUCCGGAUUUAUUGGGCGUAAAGCGAGCGCAGGCGGUCAAUUAAGUCUGAUGUGAAAGCCCCCGGCUCAACCGGGGAGGGUCAUUGGAAACUGGUUGACUUGAGUGCAGAAGAGGAGAGUGGAAUUCCAUGUGUAGCGGUGAAAUGCGUAGAUAUAUGGAGGAACACCAGUGGCGAAGGCGACUCUCUGGUCUGUAACUGACGCUGAGGCUCGAAAGCGUGGGUAGCAAACAGG
rnacentral:rRNA from 1 species